GAGAAGCUGCGAAGAUGGCGGAGUAAGGCGUGCCGCUGCAAACUGGCCUCUGGGCCGGGGGCGAGCAGCCCCCGGGAGGCCGAGUGCAUCUGUUGGACCGUGCGAGGAGAAGAAAAAAAAUAUCGGCCAGAGGAGAGGAACUAACCGAACAUUCUUCCUCCCUACCUUAUAGAGGGGAGUGGUCAUCUACACUAAAGCAAAGUGUUAGGCGCGUCCGUGCGAAGAGACCACCAAACAGGCUUUGUGUUCCUUAUCACAGGAAGAAAAUUUUCCUUGACCUUUAGGUGCUUUUAUAUUCAUCUCAAAAACAAAAUUCUGAACUCAGGACUUGGCAAGUGUCUCUAUGUUGUCUCCUAGAGUGGGUAGUCCUGCUUCUUUUACCCAGUUACUUUCCCGUUUUUGAAAUGUGGCUAUCACUUCUCUACACAUUACCUCCAUGAUUUGGAAUGGAAAAGGCCACUUUUCUUUUUGUUCUGCCUCUCAAAUUCAACACAGAGGAGCUCCUAGGAUUCCAGUUAUCCUGCUAACAUCUCCAGGAAGAAAGAAGCAACUCACAUGGGUCUUUUGCUGUUUGCUUAAUUAUAAAGACAUCAUUUUGCAAGCAGAAGGCUGAGUUUCAUUUGAAACAGGUGCUUAGGUGGUGGUAUUUGUGAAUACUUUUCAUUCCAAGCAAGAAGACUAAAGAAGUAGCAAGUAUGAAUGACUUCAGGGUUUAAAAAAAAUGUCUUCCAGUUUCAGCCACUACCAUGAUAAGCACAGUUGAGACUGCAGCAGUAAAUUCCAAAUAUGUGUUUCUAAUUUGACGUGAAAGAUACUAAAAAUUUAUAUUUGUAUAUUUAAAUCCUGGCUCAUCCUGUGACAUAGAUUUACUGAAUAGGAACAAAGGCCCAAUUUUAAACAAAAACCUAGGCCGGGUGUGGUGGCUCACACCUGUAAUCCCAACACUUUGGGAGGCCAAGGCAGGCAAAUCACCUGAGGUUGGGAGUUUGAGACCAGCCUGACCAACAUGGAGAAACCCCAUCUCUACUAAAAAUAGAAAAUUAGCCAGGUGUGGUGGUAGAUACGUGUAAUCCCAGCUACUCGUGAGGCUGAGGCAGGAGAAUUGCUUGAAUCCGGGAGGCGGAGGUUGCAGUGAACUGAGAUUGCACCACUGCACUCCAGCCUGGGCGACAGAGUGAGACUCCGUCUCAGAAAAAUAAAAAACAACUUUGGACAUAGAGGAGUUGGGGGCAGAGGGGGGAGGAUGAGAGAAUUUUCCAUGUAACUCCUUUUCCUUAAGAAAAAGAAGCAAAAAUCCCUCAUGCAGUGCCAUCUGACUUUAUGGUGUUUCACAUUAUAUAGUUACUUUUUUUAAUAAACGCAUAAGAUUAACUCUUCCUGCAACCCAAGGUGGAUACUUGGAUGUUUGAUUUUUAUUUAUUUAUUUAUUUAUUUUUUGAGGCAGUCUCUCUCUGUUGCCCAGGCUGGAGUGAUGCGUGAUUUCUGCUCACUGCAGUCUCUCCCACCCGGGUUCAAGCGAUUCUCCUGCCUCAGCCUCCCAAGUAGCUAGGAUUACAGGCGCGCACCACCACGCUCAGCCUGAUUUCUAGGCUGAAAAGGCUGGGACUCAGGUACUUUCCCCAGUUGGGACUGAACUUUCUCAUCAGAGAAUGGGCCUCAGAAGCAAUGUUCCCAAACUUGUGGUUGGGUCAUCGUGGAAAAGAAACCUCAAAUAAGAAAAAUAAUUACAAUAAGAAAUGGAUUUUCUUUUUUCCCACAACAGUUAUACAUUAUAAAGAACAGACUGUCGUAGAAAACUGUCUUUGCUUCCAAAUCAGCAGAGGACCAUUGUAUGUAUUGUCAGGUCUUUAUAUAAGAGUGAAACCUUUAUUUAUGCUUCUUGUGAGUAGAGAAUAAAUUUUAAAACUAAUUAGAUGAAAUUAAGAACAGAGUAUUGGAACAUCUCUGUGUUUUCCGGAAUGUUUACUCAGGUCCAUGAAUGCUGUGAUGCUGGGAACUUAGGGAAGAUUCACCAAAAUUUGAGAGUGAUAAAAAUGGCCUAAAAUGGGAAAUGGUGAGCACUCUUAUUAUUAGUGAGAUUGGUCAAUCAGCCCAUUUGAAAUGGGUAAAAAAUACUUUCAGUAAAAUAAUUACAUAUUAUAUAUAAAAUAUUUCUUUUUUUGAGGGCAGCUACUGAGUGAUAAAAGCAUAGUAGAAAUCACUUUGGUUAAAAGUAACUCAAAUUUUUCUCUUAAGUAAUCUACCAACUUCCUGAUGUUUUUCUUUAAUAUUUUGGAACUGUUCAAGACAGAAUGGAGCCUACAUAUAUGGUGUUCCACUAGUAUGUUGAAAAUGUCAUAUCAUGGAGAAUGGAGACACCUUCCAGGUGUCUGUUAAACCCAUCUUCUCUGUGUACUUCUGGCAUCUUUUUUGGUAGGAUCAUUUGGCAGGGGGUAGAGUACCUGUACUUUUGGCACCAUUGAAACCAGCUCUGGCCCACUUGUUUGAAUAGCUAUCAGACUCAGCGUCUCUAUAUGCUUUAUAUACAGUUGAGAGAACCAGUGUUUAAUGCUCUUGAAAUUGUAUCUUCCAUGCUUCAGACCAGAUGCAUUUAACAAAAUGGAUAUAUUCCAGCUGUAGUUGCCCAGUGUUUACUUAACACAUCUACAUUUUUUUCUUGUCUAUUUUGGUCCCCUUGAUAGGAAAAGCUAUAAUUUUAGGCAGGACUAUACGUCGAUUUGUAGCCAUGCUUCCUUCCUUUCCCUUGCUCAUCCAUGUUAGCUGGCAGUUUUUCUUUUGAAAAGUUAAAACCGGGAUAUGUGCAAUAGAAAUAUAUAUAUAUAUAUGUAUAUUUUAAUACUUGUGGACAAAUGUUACAAGUUGUUUAAGAACAACAAAAUCACCAAUGUCUUCCAUUUUGAGAUGUGUAUAGUUUUGUAAGCAUUAGUGCUUGGUAGCAUAUUGUAGUGCCAUGUUAGGGGUUAGUGCAUGAGUCUAGUGAUUUUAAACUUCAGGAUGAAUUAUUGAUAAUAACAAAUAGUGUAAAAAGAGUGGAAAAUCUAAACCUUUUCUUUUUCCAUAAUGUCUAAAUCUGUUAUAUUCUUCCUGGGGAAAAGAGAUUAAGGCCCAAAAGACUCAUUUAUGAAUAGAAAUGUGGGGUCAAAAUCUGAGAUACUAUAUUUGAGGACAUUUCAGCUUUCCAUAAGGUAUCUGGAAACCAGCUGUCUUUGUGUCUUAUGAAACCUCAAGUCAAAAUGAGACCGCAUUUAAUUAUUCUGCUUUGCUCUUUUUUUGGGGUGGGGGGGAGAUAGAGUUUCACUCUGUCACCCAGGCUGGAGUGCAGUGGCACAAUCUUUGCUCACUGUAACCUCUGCCUCUUGGGUUCAAGUGAUUCUCGUGCCCCAGCCUCCCGAGUAGCUGGGACUACAGGCACGUGCCACCACGCCCAGCUAAUUUUUAUAUUUUUAGUAGAGACGGGGUUUUGCUGUGUUGGCCAGGCUGGUCUCAAACUCCUGACCUCAAGUAAUCCACCUGGCCUGCUCUUUUCAUGUCUUAACAUGGCAUGUCUUUUAGUUUCAUUAUUUUCCUACUCCUUGUAUGUCAAGAAAUUACAUUUUGCAUGUCUUAUGGAGAUGCUGUUAAUUGCUUCAGUGAGUGCUUUUCUAAUCUGCAGACCAUUUACAUUUCCUGUUUGCAGCAUGCUGUGUGCAAACACUCAGUAAUUUGGAGUAUUCAAUUAUUUGUUAGGGCUCUUCCUAUUUCCAAAUGUGCUGAAUUGUCUAUUGAUGGGAUUUUCAGAUCUUUUCAUGAGAACUGGAAAUGUAGCUGGGUGGCACCUACCUAGGUUGCUACGUAGUGAGUAGACUUUCUCUUGGGUAUAGUAAGCCUCAGACAGCUUUCACUUUUAUCUACUUUACUUGUGGAAAUAAAACAGUCAUUUUGUUCUGAAAGAAUAAGAUAGCUUUCUGUAGAGAAGGAAUUCCUACCUCUAAAAGCUGCCUUGAGAACUCAGAACUGGCAGUUUUCUGAGGUGAUUUUUAAAUUUCAGUAUUAGGGAGAGUCCAGCAUUUGCUGACACAGAUUCUACAUAACUAAUGUAUGAUAGCAAAUGCAAAACUAUUAUAAUGUGGUGUAUCUUGCGCAUACACAGGUUAGAACAAGUAGACUCUGGCAGCAGAUCUCCAGAGACCCAAGUUUAGGUUCUCAUAGUGUAUUUGAAGUAGUUAUACUCCUGGCUUAAGUAGUUUAGUGCCUGGGAGAAUCCAUUACUGAAAAGCAUUUAACUU
rnacentral:lncRNA from 1 species